GACGAACGCUGGCGGCGUGCUUAACACAUGCAAGUCGAGCGGUAAGGCCCUUUCGGGGGUACGACGAGCGGCGAACGGGUGAGUAACACGUGGGUGACCUGCCCUCAGCUCUGGGAUAAGCCUGGGAAACCGGGUCUAAUACUGGAUAUGACUCCAUGACGCAUGUUGGCGGGGUGGAAAGCCUUGUGCGGCUGAGGAUGGGCCCGCGGCCUAUCAGCUUGUUGGGUGGGGUGAGGCCUACCAAGGCGACGACGGGUAGCCGGCCUGAGGGGGCGACCGGCCACACUGGGACUGAGACACGGCCCAGACUCCUACGGGAGGCAGCAGUGGGGAAUCUUGCGCAAUGGGCGAAAGCCUGACGCAGCGACGCCGCGUGAGGGAUGACGGCCU
rnacentral:rRNA from 1 species